GAUGAACGCUGGCGGCGUGCCUAAUACAUGCAAGUCGAGCGAACCACUUCGGUGGUGAGCGGCGAACGGGUGAGUAACACGUAGGUCAUCUGCCCAUCAGACGGGGACAACGAUUGGAAACGAUCGCUAAUACCGGAUAGGACGAAAGUUUAAAGGUGCUUCUGGCACCGCUGAUGGAUGAGCCUGCGGCGCAUUAGCUAGUUGGUAGGGUAAAGGCCUACCAAGGCGACGAUGCGUAGCCGACCUGAGAGGGUGAACGGCCACACUGGGACUGAGACACGGCCCAGACUCCUACGGGAGGCAGCAGUAGGGAAUCUUCGGCAAUGGGCGAAAGCCUGACCGAGCAACGCCGCGUGAAUGAUGAAGGCCUUCGGGUUGUAAAAUUCUGUUAUAAGGGAAGAACGACUUUAGUAGGAAACGGCUAGAGUGUGACGGUACCUUAUGAGAAAGCCACGGCUAACUACGUGCCAGCAGCCGCAGUAA
rnacentral:rRNA from 1 species